AGCGAACGCUGGCGGCAGGCCUAACACAUGCAAGUCGAACGAACCUUUCGGGGUUAGUGGCGGACGGGUGAGUAACACGUGGGAACGUGCCUUUAGGUUCGGAAUAACUCAGGGAAACUUGUGCUAAUACCGAAUGUGCCCUUCGGGGGAAAGAUUUAUCGCCUUUAGAGCGGCCCGCGUCUGAUUAGCUAGUUGGUUGAGGUAAUGGCUCACCAAGGCGACGAUCAGUAGCUGGUCUGAGAGGAUGGUCAGCCACAUUGGGACUGAGACACGGCCCAAACUCCUACGGGAGGCAGCAGUGGGGAAUCUUGCGCAAUGGGCGAAAGCCUGACGCAGCCAUGCCGCGUGAAUGAUGAAGGUCUUAGGAUUGUAAAAUUCUUUCACCGGGGACGAUAAUGACGGUACCCGGAGAAGAAGCCCCGGCUAACUUCGUG
rnacentral:rRNA from 1 species